UCUUCGCACUCUGGAGAGCGGCACGGCCGGGAUUGGAAACAAUCGGCUGGUGCCCACCGAAGGGGCGCGCGAUGGGCCACGAACAGGGCUCGCGCAAUCUCUCAGGUACCGAGGACAGAGGGGUCAUG
rnacentral:ncRNA from 2 species